GGAAGGAUCAUUAACACGUACUUACGUAUCAACACCUGUGAACUGUUUGGAUGUCCUGUAUUGAAUAGAGCGUCUCAGAGAUGAUAAUGAUAGUGAGAAGCGCUUUGAUCAUUUCGCAUGAUUGGCGAGUCUCUGUCUCUGUUGUCCAUUUCAUCCUCUUCGGAGGUUGGAACUGUUCUUACUUGGCAUUUUUUUUUUUUUUAUUUCUUUAUCUCAAUUGUUUAACACCUCUUACUUAUUUGACUAAUUAAAUGACUGGUCGAAAGGCCUUUCAUUAUUUACGGAAACGUAUUUUACAACUCUUAGCAAUGGAUAUCUUGGCUCUCGUAACGAUGAAGAACGCAGCGAAAUGCGAUACGUAAUGCGAAUUGCAGAAUUCAGUGAAUCAUCGAAUCUUUGAACGCAAAUUGCGGUCCUGGGAUAUUCCUGAGACCAUGCCUCGUCGAGUAUCGGUUUUAACUAACCUCCACAGCGUGCUGAUUUAUCAACACAACGUGGGAUAUUGAGCGUGUCGGUGCUUAACUGACUCGCUUUAAAUGCAUAGAACUAUGUCCACAGCGAGUACGCUUGUUCAGUAGACAUUGAUAUUUUGCUUCGGCAAUAAAUCAUAUGUCGCUUACCUGGCAAGUUUGAACUCUCUUGUUGGCUGUAUGUUCUCCAAUGAGAAUCUACUUUCUUGACGUUUUAGAUUGAAACCGCAAGGUGUCUCUUUAACAACGAGAAUUUCUAAACAAGAUCUCGACUGAAGCAAGAAUACCCCCUGAAUUUAAGCAUAUUAUUAAGGGGAGGAAAAGAAACUAACAAGGAUUCCCCUAGUAACGGCGAGUGAAGCGGGAAAAGCUCAAUUUGAAAAUCGGUGUGCUUAGCGGCACUUCGAGUUGUAGUCUAGAGACUUAUUGUCAGUGGUGACCCGGGUAAAAGUCUGUUGAAAAACAGCAUCAUAGAGGGUGAGAAUCCCGUCUUUGACCCGGUGCUCGCCGCGUACGACAUGAGUUCAAAGAGUCGAGUUGCUUGGGAGUGCAGCUCUAAUUGGGUGGUAAGUUUCAUCUAAAGCUAAAUAUUUACGAGAGACCGAUAGCGAACAAGUACCGUGAGGGAAAGAUGAAAAGAACUUUGAAAAGAGAGUUUAAAAAGUGCUUGAAAUUGCUAAGAGGGAAGCGAUGGAUACCAGUAGUGUUGGGUGUUAUAUUUACUUUUGGCUGCAUGUGUGAGUUACUUCAGGCAUACGUAAGUUGUUUGUUGUGAAUAACAUGUGUAGUUGGGAGGUCCUGUAGCAUUCAGCUAGUCAGCAUCAGUUCAUUUCGGCGGAGAAAGUGUAGAUUUCGAGAUUGACUUUCGGGUCAUGAAGGGUUUACAUCCUACGUUGAGACGGACUGAGGUUCAAAAGUGCGCGCCACUAGGCUGGGUCCUUGCUGUCUGCUGAGUUUACUGAUAUUUACAUCAAAGAUGUAACGUUGGGACUGCUUAGUACUGCAGUAAUGGAAUCACAUGCGUACUCGAGAUGCUGACGAAAUGGUCUUCAUCGACCCGUCUUGAAACACGGACCAAGGAGUCUAACAUAUAUGCGAGUAUUUGGGUGCAAAACCCUGAUGCGUAAUGAAAGUAAAGGUAGCUCUGCUACUGAGGUAGGAAUCCGGGUUUCGACCUGGAGGCACUAUCGACCGAUCAGUCACUUGUGAAAGAUUUGAGUUUGAGCAUAUCUGUUUGGGACCCGAAAGAUGGUGAUCUAUGCCUGAACAGGGUGAAGCCAGGGGAAACUCUGGUGGAGGCUCGUAGCGAUACUGACGUGCAAAUCGUUCGUCUGAUUUGGGUAUAGGGGCGAAAGACUAAUCGAACCAUCUAGUAGCUGGUUCCCGC
rnacentral:misc_RNA from 1 species